rnacentral:rRNA from 1 species
AUACGGAGGAUCCGAGCGUUAUCCGGAUUUAUUGGGUUUAAAGGGAGCGUAGGCGGAUUAUUAAGUCAGUUGUGAAAGUUUGCGGCUCAACCGUAAAAUUGCAGUUGAUACUGGUAGUCUUGAGUGCAGCAGAGGUAGGCGGAAUUCGUGGUGUAGCGGUGAAAUGCUUAGAUAUCACGAAGAACUCCGAUUGCGAAGGCAGCUUACUGGACUGUAACUGACGCUGAUGCUCGAAAGUGUGGGUAGCAAACAGGAUUAGAUACCCUGGUAGUCCACACAGUAAACGAUGAAUACUCGCUGUUUGCGAUAUACGGCAAGCGGCCAAGCGAAAGCAUUAAGUAUUCCACCUGGGGAGUACGCCGGCAACGGUGAUACUCAAAUGAAUUGACGGGG